AUUGAACGCUGGCGGCAGGCAUAACACAUGCAAGUCGGGCGAGAGGCGGACGGGUGAGUAAUGUAUGGGGAUCUGCCUGAUGGAGGGGGAUAACUACUGGAAACGGUAGCUAAAACCGCAUACCCUCACAUGACCCCAUAUGGGAUUUGCUUGUAGGGGAGGUAACGGCUCACCUAGGCGACGAUCCGUAGCUGGUCUGAGAGGAUUAUGAGCCACACUGGGACUGAGACACGGUCCAUACUCCGACGGGAGGCAGCAGUGGGGAAUAUUGCACAAUGGGCGAAAGCCUGAUACAGCCAUGCCGCGUGUAUGAAGAAGGCCUUCGGAUUGUAAAGUACUUUCAGUCGGGAGGCGUUACCGACAGAAGAAGCACCGGCUAACUCCGUGCCAGCAGCCGCGGUAAUAC
rnacentral:rRNA from 1 species